CGCCUCUUGAAUAAAAAUAAGAGGUCCAGCCUGCCCAGUGACUAAUAUUCAACGGCCGCGGUAUCCUAACCGUGCGAAGGUAGCGUAAUCACUUGUUCUUUAAAUGGGGACUAGUAUGAAUGGCAUCACGAGGGUUAUACUGUCUCCUUUUUCUAAUCAGUGAAUCUAAUCUCCCCGUGAAGAAACGGGGAUACACCUACAAGACGAGAAGACCCUAUGGAGCUUUAAAUACCUCUUCAAACGUUGGACCUCCUCCCCAGUUUUAAACUCACCUAUAUUAACCCCGUACGCUAUGAAGACAACUUUAGGUUGGGGUGACCGCGGAGUACAACAUAACCUCCACGCUGAAUUCAGACUCUUUAAGCCUGAACCAAGAGCCACUGCUCAAAGCACUAAGAAAUUAACAUUUAUUGACCCAAAACAUUUGAUCAACGAACCAAGUUACCCUAGGGAUAACAGCGCAAUCCAUUUCAAGAGUCCAUAUCGACAAAUGGGUUUACGACCUCGAUGUUGGAUCAGGGUAUCCCAGUGGUGCAGCCGCUACUAAUGGUUCGUUUGUUCAACGAUUAAAACCC
rnacentral:rRNA from 1 species